rnacentral:lncRNA from 1 species
GGUGACAUAAUUUUAGCAGUGAGGAAUAUGGAAGGCCAAGAGUUUCAAAUCGUCCUGAUUUGAACACUUGUUACGGGCAUUUUUACACUCGUUCAUUACACCUGUUCAGUGUGUAUUUACAGCCAGGUGUGGUCUCCCGCUUUUUCAAACGUGUUGCUGUCACUAAGCUACUUCCUGAAGUUUAACGGAUACAUCUACAACACUGACAAAAUCUAACUACUGUAAAAAAAGAAAGAAAAAAAGGUAAGAAGACGAUGAUCAGGCUGAUCACCAGCAGUAACACUACCAGACUAACCAUGAUGACCACUGAGUAUGUGCACACAGUUUGGACAAUAUUUGGACACACCUGUUAAGGUGAAUAAACAAAGAGCUUGGUUUAUGAAUGCU